rnacentral:lncRNA from 1 species
CAGACGUUGGCAUUACACCAGAAAAGAUAUCAGUUAAUUUAGUUUGAAAAAUUGGCACUGUGCGGGAACUUUGGUAGAGAAAUCAAAGCAAUCAGGUAUAUUAAUAUCAAUAUCCUUUCGUUUGUAUGUGCAUUUAAGUUGGAGCAAGUGGUCUUUAAUAAUUAGAGGGUAGGGAUUUCGCUGAUUGGGAAUUGGAAAUUUUAAAAGUGCUUAGUCUCAACUUUCAGCAGUUGAACGAAAAACCACUGCCAACUUAAAUUGGAAACUUGCUUUACGUGAUUUGUAUAUAUAAUUGGGAUGGUGAUUAUUAUUCAUGUAUUACAAUUAUUAGGUAAUAAUUGGGGGGCAAAAUAACUUACUAAUUAUUAUAAUAACUAAUUAGUUAAUGGUUUAAUAAAAAUUAUAUGAAAUUCCAAGGUUGGAGUAGUCUGUUUUGGAAUAAAGUUUCUGCUACUACAAUUUUAUCUCUUUAAUUUAAGAUUUAAUGGCCACCUAAUGAUUGGGUAAUAAGGAGGAAAGCAUAUGAUUGUGUAAUAAUGAUUUAAGUAUUGGGGACUUAAGAAUGCAUUCUACCGUUGCUGGUUUUAAAUUUGGAUACUAAGGAUUAGCCAAUAAAUUGUAGUAAUAAGAUGAUUGACAGUGAAUAGAAUAAUGAGGUUAGGUGGAUUAAGUAAUUAAAAUAUAUUCGGCAAAUUGAUGAUGAAAUAUAAAACUCAAGAGGAUUUAGGUAUUCUACAUUAGUGAUGGAUUUAGCCUAAAUGAGAAAAUUAACAUGGGAUCGAUAUUAUGUAAUUAUAGAUUGAUUGGAGGAAUUUAUACGAAUCGCACGAGAUGAAGCAUUUUGUAUUUCGGCACGAGUACUGUGAGUAGUAAUCUUACCACAAUUUGUAUUUUCAUAACUUGC